rnacentral:rRNA from 1 species
CUACGCACUCCUACGGGAGGCAGCAGUGGGGAAUAUUGCACAAUGGGCGCAAGCCUGAUGCAGCCAUGCCGCGUGUAUGAAGAAGGCCUUCGGGUUGUAAAGUACUUUCAGCAGUGAGGAAGGUGGGUAUGUUAAUAGCAUAUUCAUUUGACGUUAGCUGCAGAAGAAGCACCGGCUAACUCCGUGCCAGCAGCCGCGGUAAUACGGAGGGUGCGAGCGUUAAUCGGAAUUACUGGGCGUAAAGCGCAUGCAGGUGGUUUGUUAAGUCAGAUGUGAAAGCCCGGGGCUCAACCUCGGAAUUGCAUUUGAAACUGGCAAACUAGAGUACUGUAGAGGGGGUAGAAUUUCAGGUGUAGCGGUGAAAUGCGUAGAGAUCUGAAGGAAUACCGGUGGCGAAGGCGGCCCCCUGGACAGAUACUGACACUCAGAUGCGAAAGCGUGGGGAGCAAACAGGAUUAGAUACCCUGGUAG